GUUGCACUACAGCUUAAAGUGUUCUUUCAUUUAAGAAAGUAAAAAAAUUCAUGUCGUAUGCACUUUAGGAAUUAAAAUUGGUCGUUAGCCUCACCAGUAGCAGUUACUGGAGUCAACAAAUGAAAGGCCUCGAAGAAAAUGUGAAAAACUGAUUGCUACAGCCGGUGGUAGUCAAUUAUCGAUAUAUUGUUAUUUUGGUUAAUACAAGUAAUCAACAUUUAGGUAAAUGUUCGAAAAUUGGAAGAACCGAUUUAAUUUUCGACCGACUACUUUAAAUCGGAUCGGAUCUGACCAUUUUAUAUUACAAUGACACAAAAACGGUGUCAUUUGGCAGCUAAAAACCUAUCUUUAUUAGUGAGCGAAAAGUAAAUCUGUAAACUUAGUAUCUAUAAUGCACGAUAACGGGCAGAAAUUGUUUUAGCUUUUUUGAUACACCCUGCACUAUACAUGUUGAAGGGUUUUCUAGAUUUCCAUCUACAAAAAACCAUUCAACAUUUAAUGUCGGCGACUGAGAUGCCUGAAGGUAUAACUUACACUGCAUGGCAUCACGUAGUAUGUACUGUAUACAUGAACUUGUGGUUAAAACUCGACAAGUGGAUUCUGCAGCUCAGUUGGUUUGAGUACUGCACCGGAAUCGCAGGGCCGCAGGUUUGAUUCCUGCCAGAGGGUCUAUAUAUAUAUAGUUGCAUUUUUUGCAGCUGCUCCUGGUUUGGUGUAUAAACGUAUAAAAUUUACACUCGAGAUUUCCAUCUACAAAAACCCUUCAACAUUUAGUAUCGAGUGAGGUGUCCAAAAUCCUGUAUUAUAUGUACCUUUUUUCCUUGAUCAUGAUAUAGUCGUAAUCAAUGACUUGUAAGCUUUCUCAGUAAUUCUUAUAUAUGUACAUAUUCAAUGUAUUAUGAACAUGGCCGCCGAGAGGUUCAACGCUGAGCCCGGGCCAAAACUUUUCAUGCAAGGACUCGUUAUAUAUGAUGUCAUAAUUGUAAAAGGGGAGAAUUUUUACAAUAUAUCACAAUUUAUUACAUUUUUGUCUGACACUAACGCAGCUAGGAUUUAUAUUCUCAGUAGCAAUCUUGUAUCCAGAAAUUUUAUAGAGGCCUUCGUUGCUUUGGGGGCCUCUUUCAGAUUUUGGGGCCCCCAACCCCUUGCGGCGGCCCUGAUUAUAAACUAUUGUUUUGAACUGAUUUAUGCUGUACAGAUCGUGUAAAUAGUUUACAAGGAAUCAAAUUUCAAAAACCCAGUGGUUUCUAGUAGGCUCCUAGACCUUUAU